GACAGGACUAGGGAGGACUGGACUGGACUAGACUAUAGUCCCUUGUUUGGUUUGUAGCAGGAUUAGUUUUAGGGGCCGUUUGUUUGACAGGACUAGGGAGGACUGGACUGGACUAGACUAUAGUCCCUUGUUUGGUUUGUAGCAGGAUUAGUUUUAAUGACCUUAGGUCGGACUCGCUCGGAUUAUUCACCUCCUUACGCGUUCUUAACGAGGAACCCCAGUUUCGGGAGGACUCGUAAGCCCUGAGAGAAAGCCGCGAGAGAGUCACUCAUCCAAGAACCUACGUAGCUCGUCCUCAUCGCUGCGUCUUCCCUCAUCGUCGUCCUUGCCCUGCUCCCUCAUCGUCAUCUUCCUCAUUCUGAUCUCUGCGCCUUCCCUCAUCUGCAUCUGCUCGCCCUCAUCUGCUCCGACUUGUCUGCAAUUUCGUGUCUGGGUUUCACAAGAGGAAGAAGAAGAGGAGAAGGGAAGCUGAGCAGAAGCAAGGAGAGGCAUUGCGGCGGAAACGUCUCAAGCUGUGCAAAAAGGGGAAUUCUAUAUCGACUACAAAGUACAACUUCAUUACAUUUUUGCCGAAAGGACUCUUUGAACAGAGAAGAGGAGCAUAAACGGAAGGCUAAGGCUAAGGCUACUGCAUUACAGGUGUCCUUUAAUUUCCCUUUUCACAUGCAAUGCCUAGCAAUGAUAGCAAUCCUCAUACUAGUGUUCUUAGACACAUGUUUAUAGAUGU